UACGUAGGGCGCAAGCGUUGUCCGGAAUUAUUGGGCGUAAAGAGCUCGUAGGCGGCUUGUCACGUCGGGUGUGAAAGCCCGGGGCUUAACCCCGGGUCUGCAUUCGAUACGGGCAGGCUAGAGUGUGGUAGGGGAGAUCGGAAUUCCUGGUGUAGCGGUGAAAUGCGCAGAUGUCAGGAGGAACACCGGUGGCGAAGGCGGAUCUCUGGGCCAUUACUGACGCUGAGGAGCGAAAGCGUGGGGGAGCGAACAGG
rnacentral:rRNA from 1 species